ensembl:misc_RNA
AUCUUCCUUUCCAGUGAAUAGCGACUAGUCUGGGAAGGAAGAAUACCCUUAGGGAAACACCCAGAGCCUGCACAUAUUCUGACUGGAUAAUCUCAGAGCCCGUUUUGGAGGGUGAGGGGUGGGAAGGAUUCGAAG